rnacentral:rRNA from 1 species
CUACGGGUUGCGGCAGUGGGGAAUAUUGGACAAUGGGGGAAACCCUGAUCCAGCAAUGCCGCGUGUGUGAAGAAGGCCUGCGGGUUGUAAAGCACUUUCGGUUGGGAGGACUGCUUCUAGCACUAAUAUUGUUGGAAGUUGACGUUACCUUCAGAAGAAGCACCGGCUAACUCCGUGCCAGCAGCCGCGGUAAUACGGAGGGUGCAUGCGUUAAUCGGAAUUACUGGGCGUAAAGCGCGCGUAGGCGGCUAGAUCAGUCGGGUGUGAAAGCCCCGGGCUUAACCUGGGAACUGCAUCCGAUACUGUCUAGCUUGAGUACAGGAGAGGAGAGUGGAAUUCCACAUGUAGCGGUGAAAUGCGUAGAUAUGUGGAGGAACACCAAUGGCGAAGGCAGCUCUCUGGCCUGAUACUGACGCUGAGGUGCGAAAGCGUGGGGAGCAAACAGGAUUAGAUACCCCUGUAGUC